rnacentral:rRNA from 1 species
CAGCACCUCAAGUGGUCAGGAUGAUUAUUGGGCCUAAAGCAUCCGUAGCCGGCGCUGUAAGUUUUCGGUUAAAUCUGUACGCUCAACGUACAGGCUGCCGGGAAUACUGCAGCGCUAGGGAGUGGGAGAGGUAGACGGUACUCGAUAGGAAGGGGUAAAAUCCUUUGAUCUAUUGAUGACCACCUGUGGCGAAGGCGGUCUACCAGAACACGUCCGACGGUGAGGGAUGAAAGCUGGGGGAGCAAACCGGAUUAGAGACCCGAGUAGUCC